GCGGGGCCCGCGAACUCUGCGCAGCGGCAGCAGGGCGGCGCGCGCCACUGCUACGAUACAUUUAAACAAAUGACCUGUUAGUUACUCCUGUUAACUGACCUCAAGUUAUAAGGGCCUGUAGUUCUGCGGUCAGAGGGCAGCAUGUCUCCCUUCCUGAGGAUCUGUUUUUCUGGCUUUGAGCUGGCCCCGGGGCUGGAGUCCCAGCAGGAGGUGCUGCAGCCGCUGUGUGCGGUGUACAUGAAGGAGGCCGUGGACACAGAGAAGGGGCCGGUGUACAAGCAGAAGAAGCCCACAAUGUACCCGCCCUGGGGCGCCACGUUUGAUGCACACAUCCACCACGGACGGGUGAUGCACAUCGUGGUGAGCGACAGAGGUGCAGAACUCAAAACAGAGGCAACCAUACAGCUGGACAACCUGGCAACCCGCUGCAGGAAGGAGAACGGCCGACUGGAGAUCUGGGUAGAGUUGAGGCCACAGGGUCGUAUGCUGAUGGAGGCACGUUACUUCCUGGAGAAGAGCGAUGCCUCGGGGCAGAGUGACGGGGAGGGGGACGGGGAGAGGGACGGCCUGUUCGCCCUGCACCAUCGCCGCGGGGCCAUUAAACAGGCCAAGGUGCACCUGGUGAAGAGCCACGAGUUCACUGCCACCUUCUUCCCCCAGCCCACCUUCUGCUCCGUCUGCAAGGAGUUUGUCUGGGGUCUGAAUAAACAGGGAUACCAGUGCAGGCAGUGCAACGCUGCCAUUCACAAGAAGUGCAUCGACAAAGUAAUCGCCAAGUGUACAGGCUCAGCCGUGAACAGUAAGGAGACCAUGAUACACAAGGAGCGCUUUAAGAUCGACAUGCCACACAGGUUCAAAGUGCACAACUACAAGAGCCCCACGUUCUGCGAGCACUGCGGCACACUGCUGUGGGGUCUGGCCAGGCAGGGCCUCAAGUGUGAGGAGUGCAGUAUGAACGUGCAUCACAAGUGUCAGAAGAAAGUGGCCAACCUGUGUGGAGUCAACCAGAAGCUGAUGGCUGAGGCCCUGGCCAUGAUCGAGACCACACAGCAGCAGGCACGGAGCUCACGGGACAAUGACAUCAUCUCGCGGGAAGGCCCGGUGGGCGUCGGCCAGCCCGGUGUGGUCAGAGAGCCCCUCCCCCCCGCGGCCCCGGGGCCACGGAAAGAGCAGGGUAUCUCGUGGGACAGUCCAACCGACCAGGAGCCCCCCGCGCCAGACUCCCCCGAGCCCACAUACGCCGUCCCCCGGAAGGAGCAGCACAAGCUGCAGCACAAGCUCUCCUUCGAGCACUUCACCCUGCACAGACUGCUGGGCAAGGGCAGCUUCGGCAAGGUGUUCCUGGCGGAGCUGAAAGGCUCUGGAAGGUUCUUUGCGAUGAAGGUGCUGAAGAAGGACGUGGUUCUGAUGGAUGACGAUGUGGAGUGCACCAUGGUGGAGCGGAGAGUGCUGUCCCUGGCCUGGGAGCACCCCUUCCUCACACACCUGCACUGCACCUUCCAGACCAAGGAAAACCUCUUCUUUGUGAUGGAGUACCUGAACGGGGGGGACCUCAUGUUCCACAUACAGAACUGUCACAAGUUUGACAUUGAGAGAUCAACUUUCUAUGCGGCUGAAAUCAUCUGUGGUCUUCAGUUUCUCCAUUCUAAAGGCAUCAUAUACAGGGACCUAAAGCUUGACAACAUCCUACUGGAUAUCGAGGGGCACAUAAAGAUCGCAGACUUCGGCAUGUGCAAGGAGAACAUGACCGGGGACGUGAAGACGUCUACUUUCUGCGGCACGCCGGACUACAUCGCCCCCGAGAUCCUGUUGGGGCACAAGUACAGCACCUCGGUGGACUGGUGGUCUUUCGGGGUGCUGCUGUACGAGAUGCUGAUUGGCCAGUCUCCCUUCCACGGGAACGACGAGGAGGAGCUGUUCCAGUCCAUCCGCACAGAUGACCCCUUCUACCCCCGCUGGCUGGCCAAGGACUCCCGCGACAUCCUCGUCAUGGUGCUCCUGCCAUCCCCACUGAGUCACAUUGCAACCUAUGUGUGCUGGUCUGCUGUACUUAACACAUUACAAUCCGUCUGCUGCACUAAACACAUUACAAUCUGUGUCCUGGUCUACUGCACUAAACACAUUACAAUCUGUGUGCUGGUCUACUGCACUAUACACAUUACAAUCUGUGUGCUGGUCUGCUGUACUUAACACAUUACAAUCCGUCUGCUGCACUAAACACAUUACAAUCUGGGUGCUGGUCUACUGCACUAAACGCAUAACAAUCCGUCUGCUGCACUAAACACAUUACAAUCUGUGUGCUGGUCUACAGCACUAAACACAUUACAAUCUGUGUGCUGGUCUACUGCACAAAACACAUUACAAUCUGUGUGCUGGUCUGCUGCACUAAACACAUUACAAUCUGUGUGCUGGUCUGCUCUACUUAACACAUUACAAUCCGUCUGCUGCACUAAACACAUUACAAUCUGUGUGCUGGUCUACUGCACUAAACACAUUACAAUCUGUGUGCUGGUCUACUGCACUAAACACAUUACAAUCUGUGUGCUGGUCUGCUGCACUAAACACAUUACAAUCCGUCUGCUGCACUAAACACAUUACAAUCUGUGCGCUGGUCUGCUGCACUAAACACAUCACAAUCCAUCUGCUGCACUAAACACAUUACAAUCUGUGUGCUGGUCUGCUGCACUAAACACAUUACAAUCCGUCUGCUGCACUAAACACAUUACAAUCUGUGUGCUGGUCUGCUGCACUAAACACAUUACAAUCCGUCUGCUGCACUAAACACAUUACAAUCUGUGUGCUGGUCUGCUGCACUAAACACAUUACAAUCCGUCUGCUGCACUAAACACAUUACAAUCUGUGCGCUGGUCUACUGCACUAAACACAUUACAAUCUGUGCGCUGGUCUGCUGCACUAAACACAUUACAAUCCGUCUGCUGCGCUAAACACAUUACAAUCUGUGUGCUGGUCUGCUGCACUAAACACAUUACAAUCCGUCUGCUGCACUAAACACAUUACAAUCUGUGCGCUGGUCUACUGCACUAAACACAUUACAAUCCGUCUGCUGCGCUAAACACAUUACAAUCUGUGUGCUGGUCUGCUGCACUAAACACAUUACAAUCUGUGCGCUGGUCUACUGCACUAAACACAUUACAAUCUGUGCGCUGGUCUGCUGCACUAAACACAUUACAAUCCGUCUGCUGCGCUAAACACAUUACAAUCUGUGUGCUGGUCUGCUGUGUGGGGGGUGGGGGGUUGGGGUAUUUAGGGCAGUUCUGUGCCAGGCUCUAGGAUCAUGUGACUGGCAGAAGUCACUGUCCCAUAUAACCACCAGCAUCUCCACAUCAGUCCACAGAGAUCACUUUAGGUGUAUGGUUGAGAAUCUGUGGAGACCUCUCAUAUACAGCUCAUAUACAUAAACUCUUCACCUACUCUACACACCUGCAGUGAGCCCGAGUCAAUUCCCCACAAUUUCAGAGGAAAUAAAACUACCCUGUGUUGCCAUGGCGCUGCAUACCCACGUAAUGCUGUGGCUCAUGGCUGUGUGGUGCCUGUGUAAUAUGAUUCAUUCAGGACUGGGGUAAUAAGCCAGGCACUCAAGGCUGGGGUAAUAAGCCAGGCACUCAAGGCUGGGGUAAUAAGCCAGGCACUCAGGGCUGGGGUAAUAAGUUCAGGAGCCUAUUGUUAGUCACAACCUGUUGCUGUGCAAUGGCAGGUUAACCGUACAGUGUUCAACCGUACAGAACCUUACAGUGUACAGUUCUUAUCUCCAUUAGCAUGGUCACCAAAGCAUCCCAUACAAUCUUCAAUGAGUUAUAGAGGGUUACAGAGGGUUAUAGAGAGGGUUAUAGAGGUUAUAGAAGUUAUAGAGGUUAUAGAGGUUAUAGAGAGGGCUAUAGAGGUUAUAGAGUGUUACAGAGGGUUAUAGAGGGUUAUAGAGAGGGUUAUAGAGGUUAUAGAGGGUUACAGAGGGUUAUAGAGGUUAUAGAGGGUUAUAGAGGUUAGAGAGACCCUGUCUGAUCGUGCGCUGUGAUUGGUUUUGAUGUAGCUGUUUGUCCGGGAGCCAGAGAGGAGGCUGGGGGUGAGAGGGAAUAUCCGGCAGCACCCAUUCUUCCGGGAUGUGGAUUGGACUGCCCUGGAGAACCGGCAGGUGGUCCCGCCCUUCCGCCCCACUGUGUCAUCUCCAAGCGACUGCAG